rnacentral:lncRNA from 1 species
CCUUACAAAUACACACCACGCGCCCAGGUAGAAACACUGAUCUAAUUAGCCAUACGCGCCUAUUACAGACUGGUGAAACGCUGAAACAGAUGGUUGUGUCCUAUGGUGAUGGAAUUAGAUGGGUGGCUGAACGAAACCGUUUCUCUUUGGUGUAAAUAGCAUGACAUCUUGGAAAGCUUAAUUAGUUUGGUCUUUCAGCUAAUUUUUCUUGUGUGCUCAAACACAAGACAGUAUUUGAUGCAUCACAUGAUCACUGUCAUAUCUGUUGGUACGUAGUAUCAACCGUUUUCAUGUCUUGAUGCCGGUGGGAAGUGGGAGCCAUCCAACUGAAAUAGGAUGCCAAGCGUGUGCUCACUAUUGUCACCACUCACCACUAGUAUGGUUGGCCGCACAUAUGUCAAAGAGCACGAUUUAUCAGUAUCCCCAUGGCCCAGACAGUCCAAAUUUAGCUCAUUUACCACAUCUGUGGCAUCUUGCUACAAGGCAGAUCUUGAAUGUUGUGCCAUACUGCCAUAGUCACCUGCAUAUAGUUACAAAUUAGAACUAUGAUCACAUUUUUUUCCAAGUUUUGAUAAGAAUCUGUUGUUUCAACAAAGCAUGUCAGAAAUCACUGCUCACUACAUUUGACAAUGGUCGUUGCUUGUUUGGGAAUGUUGUGGUGAAGUUUGUCCAGGAAUGUAUUGGAAGUCCAACCCACUAAUUCACCGUCCAUCUGCCAAUGUAAAAGGAAACCCUGAGCAGCUGCAGUCAUUACUCUGUUUGCCUUGUCUGCACCAGAUCCAUGUUCACUGAUGGUUAAAAAUUUGAGAUACGGAACAAUGAUAUCAUAAAUAAUCCUGAAUACAGUAUUGAUUGCCCAUAUGCCAUUAUUGUGUUAAUUUCUUACUUGUUCCCAGAUAAAACUUCUGCUAAUUACGCACACUUGAUACAUUCUAUAUUCUUUUAUUGAUUAUUAGUUUCUCCUGAAUCUCAGGUAGCUGUAAUAGCCCCAAAUAUCCCAGCGAUUUAUGAAGCUCAUUUUGGAGUGCCCAUGGCUGGGGCAGUGGUCAAUUGCGUCAACAUUCGAUUAAAUGCUGCCACUGUAGCAUUUCUCUUAGAGCACUCCUCAGCAGAAGUUGUCAUGGUUGACCAAGAAUUUUUCACCCUGGCAGAGGAUUCUUUGAGGAUUAUCGCUGAUCAAAAGAAAGGUGCUUUCAAACAGCCACUUCUGAUAGUUAUUGGUGACCCAACUUGCGAUCCAACGACCCUCCAAGAUGCUUUGAGAAAAGGAGCCAUCGAGUAUGAGGCAUUCUUGGAAAGUGGAGAUCCUGAAUUUGCUUGGAAACCACCACAGGAUGAAUGGAAGAGUAUCGCACUAGGUUAUACUUCUGGGACAACUUCUAACCCAAAGGGUGUGGUAUUGCAUCACAGGGGAGCUUACCUAAUGUCACUGAGUGGUGCUUUGAUAUGGGGAAUGAACGAAGGCGCUGUCUACUUGUGGAC